rnacentral:rRNA from 1 species
ACGAACGCUGGCGGCGUGCCUAAUACAUGCAAGUCGAACGAGAGCGACCGGUGCUUGCACUGGUCAAUCUAGUGGCGAACGGGUGAGUAACACGUGGGUAACCUGCCCAUCAGAGGGGGAUAACAUCCGGAAACGGAUGCUAAAACCGCAUAGGUCUUCGAGCCGCAUGGCUUGAAGAGGAAAAGAGGCGCAAGCUUCUGCUGAUGGAUGGACCCGCGGUGCAUUAGCUAGUUGGUGAGGUAACGGCUCACCAAGGCCGUGAUGCAUAGCCGACCUGAGAGGGUGAUCGGCCACAUUGGGACUGAGACACGGCCCAAACUCCUACGGGAGGCAGCAGUAGGGAAUCUUCCGCAAUGGACGCAAGUCUGACGGAGCAACGCCGCGUGAGUGAAGAAGGUGUUCGGAUCGUAAAACUCUGUUGUUAGAGAAGAACAAGUGCUAGAGUAACUGUUAGCGCCUUGACGGUAUCUAACCAGAAAGCCACGGCUAACUACGUG